AAAUAAGAAGCAUAAAGCAAUUAGUUUCGGCCUAAUCCAAUGGUAAUUAUAUCAUUACCCUUAUUUA
rnacentral:tRNA from 1 species